CAGUAGCCACGGGAAUACGUAGGUGGCAAGCGUUGUCCGGAAUUAUUGGGCGUAAGGGGCUCGCAGGCGGUUUCUUAAGUCUGAUGUGAAGGCCCCCGGCUCAACCGGGGAGGGUCAUUGGAAACUGGAAAACUUGAGUGCAGAAGAGGAGAGUGGAAUUCCACGUGUAGCGGUGAAAUGCGUAGAGAUGUGGAGGAACACCAGUGGCGAAGGCGACUCUCUGGUCUGUAACUGACGCUAAGGAGCGAAAGCGUGGGGAGCGAACAGGAUUAGAUACCCGCGUAGUCCCUGUCUCUUAUAC
rnacentral:rRNA from 1 species